UUGCUAUGGCGACAAAUAUACUACAAUUGGAACAAUCCAGAAAAGAUCAGCAUGGCUCCUGUGCAAGGAUGACAUGCAAAUUCGUAAAGUGUUCCAAAUUUUU
ensembl:snRNA U6 U6 spliceosomal RNA